AGAGGGGUGCAAGCGUUAAUCGGAGUUACUGGGCGUAAAGCGUGCGUAGGCGGAAAUUCAAGUCGGGGUGUGAAAGCCCCGGGGCUCAACCUGGGAACUGCAUUCGAUACUGGAUUUCUAGAGUAUGGUAGAGGAAAGUGGAAUUUCCGGUGUAGCGGUGAAAUGCGUAGAUAUCGGAAAGAACACCAGUGGCGAAGGCGACUUUCUGGACCUAUACUGACGCUGAGGUACGAAAGCGUGGGGAGCAAACAGGAUUAGAGACCCUGGUAGUCCACGCCGUAAACGAUGAGAACUAGACGUUAGCCUAGCUAUUAAGCUGGGUUAGUGUCGAAGCUAACGCGUUAAGUUCUCCGCCUGGGGAGUACGGCCGCAAAGGUUAA
rnacentral:rRNA from 1 species